UACGGAGGGUGCGAACGUUAAUCGGAAUCACUGGGCGUAAAGCGCGUGUAGGCGGUCUGGCAAGUCGGUUGUGAAAUCCCCGGGCUCAACCCGGGAACUGCAUCCGAAACUUCCGGGCUAGAGUUUCGGAGAGGAAGGCAGAAUUCCCAAUGUAGGGGUGAAAUCCGUAGAUAUUGGGAGGAAUACCAGUGGCGAAGGCGGCCUUCUGGACGAUGACUGACGCUGAGACGCGAAAGCGUGGGGAGCAAACAGG
rnacentral:rRNA from 1 species